GCAGCUGGCCAGCUCAGAGCCCCUGCUGCAGACAACCAGAGGCAGCAGGGAGGAGGAGGAGAGGGCUGACUAUAUGUACCAGCAGGCCACCGUACAGACGGAGGCUCUACACCACCAGGAGUCAGCCUCCACCCCUUCCCUCCACUCCUCCCAUUCCAACUCCUGCAACUCCAGCAAGACGGACUUCAACACGCGGUGGGGCAGUGGUGGUGGUGGUGAGCCAGGCGUAGGGGGCUCCUGCCCAGACCCUCAGCCCGCUCACCUCUUUAAGCUCAACAACUGUCUGGUGUCAGCCAGCUCCAUGUCCACUCUGGGAGGGGACGACUGGUCGGAGGUCACAGCCAUGCUGCCCAGGCGCUCCUACAGUCUUAGCUACAGGACUAACCCAGGCCCCCACGGGCCCCAGACUGUAAUACGUCUACAGGAAGGGGCCAUGCGACCCGGGGGACCUGGGGCGGACCCACAGAUAGUGCAGUCCAAGCCCACGCGGAGGGAGCGCAGCUUGGACGUGUGUGUGAACAUGGUUGGAUGUGUGGAGACCCCGGAGCUCACUCCUGUACAGGAGCAGAAGCACCGCAGCUGGCCCCGGUUAGACCUGGGCUGUGCCCGCAGGUACCUGAAGCUGGACAAUAAGGAGGACUCGGUGGACAGACUGCUAGACCAGUUGGAGCAGCAGUGUUCUCAGUGGGAUAAGAGUUUCGGCUCAGGGCCUUUCCAGUGAGACCCAGUAAGGGCCCCGUAUCUCAAUAAGGCCUCAUAUCAGGGUCCUCUGUUUUUUAAAAGCAGCUUAUAAAGAAAGAUCCUCAUGGAUGCUGAUAUAUCCACUACCAGGAGUAGGAGCUUUUCCCGUUGGAUUAUAAUUGUGCACUGUUUUCACUGACUCCUGAAACUGAGAAAGGAGGCUAUAACAGAAACCCUUCUAAGUACGACACUGAAUUCCUCUCUACAGUGUCGAGCAGCUUCCAAUCUGAAGAUACAAACCUUUAGAAACCUUGUUUCUCGGACUUCCCAUAGAUAUAUAAAUAUGGAUAUAUAUGUGGAUAUAUAAACACAAGUGUUGGAGGACUGCAGACGAAUUGGAUCAGUUUGGCAGACAUUCUGUUUUAAGAGGGGAACAAUACUCCAUACUGUCAAAGAUGAGUUGGAGACAUUCCCCAGUCUGUUUACUGGGUGGCAGUUAGGCUUGGCACUUGGCAACACUGAAGGAAUCAAUUUGUCUUUCAUUGCCAAAGCAUUGCUUGUUUCCAGGACAUAGCAAGCACAUCCGAAUGUGGGAGGUGGAAACCCAUUCUAAUGAGGGACUGUCUUCACUGUGUAAUCUAUUUAAAAACCAAACUACUGGAAUCUGGCGGGGAGCCCCAGAUGUGCUUCUGAUAACAGCUAGUAAAAUAAAACACGUGUCACAGAGACCAAAACAAGUGCAUGAUGAUAGAGAUGUCAUGUGUGAUCUAUACCUACAUAGUUCUGCAGAAUAAUGCUUUAAUUGGCUGUAGAUCAGAUAAACACAUAGUUAAUGAUAGGUUGGUAACACUUUAUUUGAAGGUUACCUACAUAAAGACUUCAUUACACAUUCAUAAACAGUACAUAAGCAUUGAUUAAGUAUUAUGUAGUGCUUGUUAAUGGGUUAUGUAGGGCUUAUGAAUGGGUUAUGUAGGGCUUAUGAAUGGGUAAUAAAUCUCUUCAAGUACUAUGUGUCCGUUUGCUGUCCUUCUCCUGGUUAUUACCAAGGCUGUGUCCCAAAUUACACCCUAUUCCCUAUAUAGUGCACUGCUUUUGACCUGCACUCAUAGGGCUCUGGUCAAAACUAGUGGUCUGUAUAGGGCAGGGCUCUCCAACCCUGUCCCUGGAGAGUUACCGUCCAGUAGGUUUUAACUCCAACCCUGUCCCUGGAGAGUUACCGUCCAGUAGGUUUUAACUCCAACCCUGUUCCUGGAGAGUUACCGUCCAGUAGGCUUUAAUUCCAACCCUGUUCCUGGAGUGUUACCGUCCAGUAGGUUUUAAUUCCAACCCUGUUCCUGGAGUGUUACCGUCCAGUAGGCUUUAAUUCCAACCCUGUUCCUGGAGAGUUACCGUCCAGUAGGUUUUAAUUCCAACCCUGUUCCUGGAGAGUUACCGUCCAGUAGGUUUUAACUCCAACCCUGUUCCUGGAGUGUUACCGUCCAGUAGGUUUUAACUCCAACCCUGUUCCUGGAGAGCUACCUUCCAGUAGGAUUUCACUACAAGAGGGUAUGUCUCCAGGAGCAAGGUUGGAGAGUCCUGGUAUAGGGAAUAGGGUGCUAUUUGAGACGCAACCCCAGGUGAUCCACCAGUGGGAAUCAGCGGUGAGGAGAAACCCCUCCCUCCUGUCUACCGUCCUGUUGAUUCUCUCACUGCCUCCUCAGAGUGCAUCUUGUGUUCGUCCCAAAUGACACCCUAUUCCCUAUGUAGUGUUCUGUAUAAGAACUAGGGUGUCAUUUGGGACGCGGUCCUAGUGUUUACGAGGAGGGGUCACCCCUUUCUUCGUCCAAUAGAGGUGAGGGAAUGGAGGACAGCACUGUCUCAGUCUGUUUGAUUUAGUGGAAUGAAAUUAUCAAUGUUUUAGCAUGCAGUUGGGGUGUGUGGGGCUACGUGAUUAAGACAUGUCUGGUUCCCUUAGGACGACACACACACACACACACACACACACACACACACACACACACACACAGGCUGAUGUGGAGAGAAGGCUCCAUUGUAUUUUCAAUGCCACAGCCUCUCUCUCUCUCUCUCUCUCUCUCUCUCUCUCUCUCUCUCUCUCUCUCUCUCAUCAGUGUUGCCUGUUUUGUAUGCUGUGUCAGUGUGACAAUUUGUGUUCUAAAUGUAUUACCAAGCAAUAUCAGUAGGUCUGACAGAACAAUUAUUGUCUGUGUCUGACCCCGUAGACCCACAUACCAUGCCUGUGUUACAAAUAUAAGGCAAAGCAACAAAAAACCUUCCUUGUGUUGUCAGUGGUUUCAUUGGUUCACCUUGGCAAGGUUACAACCUUCCGUUGGGGUAUUUAUACGGUAUCAUUAUUUGUGUGUGCCAAACCGAUGACCCUAUUCCUCACUAGACAGGGGCUUCGCGUCUCAUUGUUCCUCCCAUUGAGGACAUUCUGCUGGGAUGUGAACCAAUGAGUCUCCUAGUUGACACUAGAGCCAAUCAGCAAGGGUUUACCACGACACAAGGCAUUCAAAUGGAACAAAAUGGAAGUCUGAACAGAAUUUUGGAAUCCCUCGUAUCACAAACUCUUUCCUGUCUACUUUCUCCACUACUGUUUUUCUCAUCUCUGCUAAAGACUUUCGACAGAGGACAUCCUAUGACCUUGAAUUAGAUAACGCUCACCUACAGUAGAUCUACAAAACCACAAGUUCCUCUGUGUGUCUGUGUGGAUCAGAUCUGUCCGCUCAAGAUGCAUAGAAAUUGUCUUCCGUUGGCACAAGGUGCUGCCCAAGUACUACCUCUGAUGCGUUAGCAUCUGGCUAGCAGAGAUUAUCCAGGCUGUGUCCCAAAUGGCUCCCUAAUCCCUAUAUCAAAAGUAGCGCACUAUGUAGGGAUUAUGGUGCCAUUCGGAUGUAACCCAGUUCUCUCUGGCUGUCUGCAUGAUGUCAGGGGUUAAAGGUCAACAGCAAACCGAGGCAUCGGUCUAUCACCUUUUCAGCUGAUUAGUCACAGACGAUGCUCUCCAAAGUCCUCAGUCUUUCUCUCUUUAGUGUUAUCUAUUUAUCAUGCUAGAGGAAACUACAGCAAUUUAUGUAACCCUGUGGGUGAUCAGGGUUUUGUGAUUUAGAAAGAACACUGAAAUGUGUGGAGGAGUACUUAGAAACACUACUGAAAUGUUGUUGAGUACUUUCUAAGGUCUGGUAGAAUAAUGUGGUCAUUACUCAAGUACUACAGUUAGAACUCAGUGUUAUACAACGGGUGGGUCUAAUCCUGAAUGCUGAUUGGUUAAAACCGCAUUCCAGCCGGCGUCUAUUGCACAAGGUACCACCGGCUAAAUCUAUAUUGUUAAAAUGCCUAUUUACUCUGUUCCAUCUGACUGCCCAUCCACUAUCUCAUCAGUCCAGCCAGGCAAUUUAUAAACUUAAUCUCCACUAUAAAAAGCAUCUAGACAUUAUCUCACAUUUCUUUUAGCUUAACAUUUAGGUUUUCAACAGCGGAGAUUCUAUAAACCUUGCUGUCUGUCUCUCCGACAUUUGCAACAUCGUUUCUAUAUUGAAAUUGGAUCUCCAGCUGUAGCAUAGUAAUGAACGUGUCGGGAGUCGAGAUGAGAUGGACGGACGGACGGACGGACGGACGGACGGACGGACGGACGGACGGACGGACGGACGGACGGACGGACGGACGGACGGACGGACGGACGGACAGACAGACAGACAGACAGACAGACAGACAGACAGACAGACAGACAGACAGACAGACAGAUAGGUAGCUUUUCUCAGCCAGUUGAAAUCAUGAAUCAGCAUCAUUUGUAUGGAUAUACACAAAGAAAUAUGAAUAGAAAACAGGUAAAACAAAAUGAAGUGCAGCUAGUUUGCAGUCUUUCCAGCUUCAGUUUGAAGUGAUUGUGUUAGUUGUGUUGUUGGCUAGCUGCUCUGAACAACAGUGUCCUGACGAGAGAGCAUAUGUUCUGUGCCAGGCGAAAUCGCGCCUCAUUAGCUCAUUGUUAUGGAUGUAUCCAAAUAAAUAUCACUAGAAAACAGCUUAAACAAAUGCAAAUGCAGCUACUUUGCUGUUAUUCUGGCUGCACUGUUUCUAAAUUAGCCGUAGUUGGCUAGCUAGCAAGCAAGGGAUAAGAACGUUGCCAGGCAGUAUGGUUGCGUCCAUAGAUACAGAACAAAAAGACAAUGACUGGGUCACGUCUCUGGCAACCAAAUCGAUAGAACGAACAACUAGCCGGCUUGGGCAGAAACUGUCACGUCCUGACCAGUAAAGGGGUUAUUCGUUAUUGUAAUUUGGUCAGGACGUGGCAGGGGGGUGUUUGUUUUAUGUGGUUCGGGGUUUGUUGGGAUAUGUGUUUAUGUAGAGGGGUGUUUGUUUAGAGUAUUCUGGGGUUUUUGGUUAUGUUCUAUGUUUUGUAUUUCUAUGAUCUGUCUAUGUUGUGUAUUUCUUUGUGUUGGCCUGGUAUGGCUCUCAAUCAGGACCAGCUGUACAUCGUUGUUGCUGAUUGGGAGUCAUACUUAGAUAGCCCUGUUUUCACAUGUCCCUUGUGGAAAGUUGUUUUUGCACUGCUGUGUGUGUAGCAUGCAAUACUGUGCGUUCGAUCGUUUUCUUGUUUUUGUUUUGUUACGUGUUCAAAUAAAGUUAAGAUGAGCACUCAACCCGCUGCGCCUUGGUCCACUGUAUACGACGGCUGUUACAGAACUUCCCACCAACAAUGGACCAAGCAGCGGGGUAAGGAGCUGGAGAAAGGCUAUCGGGAGUCGUGGACCUGGGAGGAGAUUUUAGCUGGGGCUGGACCAUAGAGGAAUGCUGGAGUGGACCGGGACUGUUAUAUUGGUACACGGUUGGCAUUUAAGCCUGAGAGGCAGCCCCAAUACAUUUUUUUGGGCGGGGCACACGGGUAGUUUGGCUGGGCCAGGGUUAAGCCCCAAGCCAACUCCCCGUGCUUACCGGAGGCAGCAUGUUACUGGUCAGGCCCCGUGCUAUGGCGUGAUGCGCAUGGCGUCGAGGCCGAGUAUUCACAGGCCGGUGUGCGCGGUGCCAGCGCUCCGCAUUUGCCAGGGGGAAGCGGGAAUCCAGCCAGUAAGGGUGGUGCCAGUACUGCACUCGAAACCGCCAGUACGCCUUCACGGCCCAGUGUAUCCUGUUCCCGGUCCUCGCACCAGCCCUGAGGUGCGUGUAUCCAGUCUGGCGUAUCCAAAGCCAGCCCCACGCACCAGGCCUCCAGUGCGUAAGCCCAGUCCAACUCGUCCUGUUCCUGCUCCUUGCACUAGCCUUGGGAUGCGUGUAUCCAGUCUGGUACCUCCACUACCAGCCCCACGCACCAGGCCUCCAGUGCGUCAGCCCAGUCCAACUCGUCCUGUUCCUACUCCUCGCACUAGCCUUGGGAUGCGUGUAUCCAGUCUGGUACCUCCACUACCAGCCCCACGCAUCAGGCUUUCAGUGCGCAGUCCCCGUCCAGAGCUUCCAACGACAGUACCCCGUUCAGAGCUUCCGGCAAUAGUGCCUCGUCCAGAGCUUCCGGAAAUAGUGCCUCGUCCAGAGCUUCCGGCAACAGUGCCCCGUCCAGAGCUUCCGGCGACAGUGCCCCGUCCAGAGUGUCCGGCGACAGUGCCCCAUCUAGAGAUGGCCCACAGUCCGGAACCGAGAGAGACGGCCCACAGUCUGGAACUGAGUGAGACGGCCCACAGUCCGGAACCAAGUGAGACGGCCCACAGUCCGGAACCGAGUGAGACGGCCUACAGUCUGGAACCGAGUGAGACGGCCUACAGUCCGGAACCGGCGCAGCCAGAGUCACCCUACAGUCCGGAGCUCCCAGAGUCGCCCUACAGUCCGGAGCUCCCAGAGUUGCCCUUCUGCACGAGGUCUACAGUGACGUGCUUCAGCCCGAGGUCUACAGCGAUGCGCUUCAGCCUGAGGUAUUCAGCGGGGGUGGACAGGUUAGGUGAUGGACUAAGGCCAGAGCCUGAGCCACCUCCACAGUAGGAGGAUUGGGGAGGGGGGGUGUAGCACGGGAACCGUCGGUGACGGCAGCCACCCUCCCUUCCCUCCCUUUAGUUUGGGGGGUUGAUUUUUGUGUUUAUUUUUUGUGUGAGGUGCAUCCGGGGUCUGCACCUUUGGGUGGGGGUACUGUAACGUCCUGACCAGUAAAGGGGUUAUUUGUUAUUGUACUUUGGUCAGGAUGUGGCAGGGCGGUGUUUGUUUUA
rnacentral:lncRNA from 1 species